UACGAAGGGGGCUAGCGUUGCUCGGAAUCACUGGGCGUAAAGGGUGCGUAGGCGGGUCUUUAAGUCAGGGGGGAAAUCCUGGAGCUCAACUCCAGAACUGCCUUUGAUACUGGGGAUCUCGAGUCCGGGAGAGGUGAGUGGAACUGCGAGUGUAGAGGUGAAAUUCGUAGAUAUUCGCAAGAACACCAGUGGCGAAGGCGGCUCACUGGCCCGGAACUGACGCUGAGGUGCGAAAGCGUGGGGAGCAAACAGG
rnacentral:rRNA from 1 species